rnacentral:rRNA from 1 species
UACGGGAGGCAGCAGUGGGGAAUAUUGCACAAUGGGCGCAAGCCUGAUGCAGCCAUGCCGCGUGUAUGAAGAAGGCCUUCGGGUUGUAAAGUACUUUCAGCGGGGAGGAAGGCGAUGUGGUUAAUAACCGCGUCGAUUGACGUUACCCGCAGAAGAAGCACCGGCUAACUCCGUGCCAGCAGCCGCGGUAAUACGGAGGGUGCAAGCGUUAAUCGGAAUUACUGGGCGUAAAGCGCACGCAGGCGGUCUGUUAAGUCAGAUGUGAAAUCCCCGGGCUUAACCUGGGAACUGCAUUUUGAACUGGCAGGCUUGAGUCUCGUAGAGGGGGUAGAAUUCCAGGUGUAGCGGUGAAAUGCGUAGAGAUCUGGAGGAAUACCGGUGGCGAAGGCGGCCCCUGGGACGAAGACUGACGCUCAGGUGCGAAAGCGUGGGGAGCAAACGAGGAUUAGGAUACC